UACGAAGGUCCCAAGCGUUAUCCGGAUUUAUUGGGUUUAAAGCGUGCGUAGACGGUUACAUAAGUCGGGUGUGAAAGCCCCGGGCUCAACCUGGGAAUUGCAUUCGAGACUGCGUAGCUAGGGUGCGGAAGAGGGAAGCGGAAUUUCCGGUGUAGCGGUGAAAUGCGUAGAUAUCGGAAGGAACACCAGUGGCGAAAGCGGCUUCCUGGUCCAGCACCGACGUUCAGGCACGAAAGCGUGGGGAGCAAACAGG
rnacentral:rRNA from 1 species